AAUGAACGUUGGCAGCGUGGAUUAGGCAUGCAAGUCGAGCGACAAGGUCCUUGGACUGGAGGAGCGGCAAACGGGGUAGGUAAUACAUCGGAACGUACCCUCACGUCUGGGAUAGCCACGGGAAACUGUGGGUAAUACUGGAUAAUCUCACCGCUUGUGAAGAGUGGUGAGCAAAGGUCCGCCGCGUGAGGAGCGGCCGAUGCGAUACUAGAUAGUUGGUGGGGUAAUGGCCUACCAAGUCUAAGAUGUCUAGGGGGUGUGAGAGCAUGGCCCCCACCACUGGGACUGAGACACUGCCCAGACACCUACGGGUGGCUGCAGUCGAGAAUCUUUGGCAAUGGGCGC
rnacentral:rRNA from 1 species